UGAUGGGCUAAUGUCAACACUGGGGAAGAAAUUGAAACUGAACAAGUUAAUUUCUUCAUGCCAUACAUAAGAAAUAUUGCGAAGUGAUCAAUCAUAUUGAGGCAAAAAUGUGCGCUAUAGAUUGACUCAGUGGGCAUAAAGACUACAGAAGCACUGUCAUCCAGGCUUUUACUAUCCCCUAUUUUCCUUCCUCUCCUCCCACCCCACUUCUCAAACAUUAUUAACUCAAUGCAAUUCCUUUGCAAUCCAAAUCCAUAGCAGCAGAGAGUAGAAACGGAUGCAUGCUAGACAUUACUCCACUAGGAUGAGGGAAGGAUGUCAUCUCUAAAAUUUUUUAAUAAAUUAUACAAAGUGGAAUAUCAUGCCAUAUGCCAAAAAGCCAACAUGAAGCACCAUAGACGACAUUGUCAAGAAAAGUAGAUUUAUAUUUAUUUGAAUUCAUGAUGUUCUUUUAUGGUGUCCCCAGAUUUUUUAUUUUUUGCAAUUAACUUUGCAAACAGGUGGAUAAAAUGAAGUGCGUACUUUCUAUGAAGCUUUAAUGAAGAUACCAAGGAGUCAAUACCUAUGCAUAUUGUAUUGCACUAUGCUCACCUGGUCAAGUACCACAGAAAAGUAA
rnacentral:misc_RNA from 1 species